rnacentral:SRP_RNA from 1 species
GCCAGGCACAGUAGCUCACACCUGUAAUCCCAGCACUUUGGGAGGCCGAGGUGGGUGAAUCACCUGAGGUCAGGAGUUUGAGAGCAGCCUGGCCAACCUGGUGAAACCCCGUCUCUACUAAAAAUACAAAAAUUAGCUGGGGGUGGUGGUGGGCGCCUGUAAUCCCAGCUACUUGGGAGGCUGAGACAGGAGAAUUACAGGCCCCCACCACCACGCCCGGCUAAUUUUUGUAUUUUUAGUAGAGAUGGGGUUUCACCAUGUUGGCCAGGUUGGUCUCGAACUCCUGACCUCAGGUGAUCCUCCCACCUU